rnacentral:lncRNA from 10 species
GACCUCGUGAUCUGCCCGCCUAGGCCUCCCAAAGUGCUGCGAUUACAGGCGUGAGCCACCGCGCCCGGCCGAACAGGGUAAUUUCUAAGGCUCCUUUACUUCUGGCUAUUAGUCUCUGGUUGGUCUGAAAUGACACUGGGUUUAAAUUAUUUUACAGUCUUUGGAUAUCAAGGUCUUCACAUGAUUCGGUUGAUAAGUACAGAGUUCUGGCAAUGGUCCCAGGGCUAUGGGGAAGAGAAUGAUUUGGGAGGGCUCUGCCUUGAAGAAAGGCCCUGAUUCUAUUUUGCAGGCCUCAGUUUCCUCAACUGUAAAAUGAGACUCUGAAGUCUAGAAGAUCUUUGAGAUCCAGUUGUGGUUCUCUAUGCUGAAUCUCUGUCUUCAUGCAAUUUGGAUUCCCAAUAAAUACAUAUUUCCUGAGCUAUUUGCUUGGCAUGUGUGCAGUACUAUAGUGGAACACGGUCCCUGUCCUUAAGGAGCUCACAAUAUAUUUUUAAAAACAGUAAGCCACAUACAUAGGAAAAACUAGCGUAAUCCACAUCCAAACGAAUAAUAGAGACACCAGAGGAUGGCUGUCUCUGGGCAUAUUGCAGGCUGGAGGAAAGCAGGCAGAGGCUGUGACUAGAGCUUGCUCACCCCAUGACUUCCUGCUAACUCGGCUCUCAGAGGGGUGUGGUGGAACCAGACUGCCUAGGUUCAGUCCUGUCUUCACCGCUUGCAAGCUUUAGGGAAGUUACUCAACCUCUCUAAGCCUCAGUUUCCUGAUCUUUAGGAUGGGGAUAAUAAAAGUAUUGCCUUGCAUCUUUGUUGUAAAGAUAAAGUGAAAUUAUCCAUGUAAAGUAUUUAGCAUAGUGCCUAAGACAUAGGUGGUGCUCUAUAAUGAUCCCUUCCCACCCUGACCCGCCAGGAAGCCCAGCUGUGGGAAUGACUCCAGAUUAGGGAGGGUUCAGUACAGCUGGCCAAGUCCAGUAUGACCCUGGCUUAGUGCCAGAUCACUCAAUUCAAAGUCUAAGUCCAUGUCUAGGUAGGACUGGGCAUCCUACCUAGAGCAUACCAUUGUCGUCCUGGUCUACAGGUAAUCCCUGCUUUUCCAGGAGAAAAAUCUAGAUGCAGAUGGAGUCAGGGCAGGAUGAGGACUACGUGCAAAUCAAGGAGUGUCAGGGGCUGGGCGCGGUGGCUCAGGCCUGUAAUUGAAGCAUUUUGGGAGGUGGAUGUAUUAGUCAGGGUUCUCUAAAGGGACAGAACUAAUGGGAUACAGAGAUAUAUAAAGGGGAGUUUAUUAAGUAUUAACUCACACGAUCACAAGGUCCCACAAUAGGCUGUCUACAAGCUAACGAGCAAGGAGAGCUAGUCUGAGUCCGAAAGCUGAAGAACUUUGAGACCAAUGUUCGAGGGCAGGAAGCAUGCAGCAUGGGAGAAAGAUGCACGCUGGGAGGCUAGGCCAAGUCUAGUCUUCUCAUGCUUUUCUUCCUGCUUUAUAUUCCAGCCAUGCUGGCAGCUGAUUAGAUGGUUCCCACCCAAAUUAAGGGUGGAUCUGCUUUUCCCAGCCCACUGACCCAAAUGCUUUUUUUUUUUUUUUUUUUGAGAUGGAGUCUCGCUCUGUUGCCCAGGCUGGAGUGCAGUGGUGAG